CCAACAUAAAAAAAAGGCCAAAAGGGUGCGCAGUAUGCACCGUCCGUAUUAUAGAAUGCAUCAGAUGUUAUCCGAGAGAAUCAGGAGAAGACGAAUCUACACUUUCAUUUUCUCCUGAGCGGGAAUCCCACAUCUCAUCUCAUUCUCAUCACUCUCUCGAAAAUCUCUGCUGUGAAAAUCCUCUUCAGCCUGAGUUAUUGAGUAGAUGGAUGUUAGCUUGCCUGAAAAUGGGCAGAUACUGGGAGAUGAAGUUACAGAAAUGCAUGUUACCCUACAGAAGAUGAAGAAAAUUGAGGACAUUUUAGAUGAGAAGCACAAUAAUGCAGUCCCUGUUAAGGACGUGGUCAUUGCUAGGGCUGACGAGAAGCAGCAAAUGUUACCAGGAGUUGCAUCUUCAGGCAUUGAUGAGGACCGUGGUACUGCUGAGAAAGUUACAGUAGAUGGAAAUCAAGAUUCGGAUGAUGGUGUUCCACGUCAGGAGAAUGUGGUGCCUGGAACUCAGGGCAUUGAAGUUGAUGUUUCAGUGUCAGUUGAAGAAGAGGAAGAGGAGGAUGUGGAAAUGGAUGCUCAAGAACACCAAUUUUCUGUGGGUGAUUUUGUGUGGGGUAAAAUUAAAAGUCACCCUUGGUGGCCUGGACAGAUCUAUAACCCUUCAGAUGCAUCGGGUAAUGCAGGGAAGUACCGUCGGAGGGACCGUGUGCUGGUGGCAUAUUUUGGGGAUGACACAUUUGCAUGGUGCUACCCAUCUCAAUUAAAGCCAUUUCGGAAGGACUUUGAACAGAUGUCAAAGCAGAGUAAUUCUAAAAGCUUCACUAAUGCUGUAGAGGAGGCUUUGAAUGAGCUUGGCAGAUGCAUAGAGUCAGAGAUGGCAUGUUCUUGUGUACUGGAGGAAACCCGGACUGGGCUCACUAGACCACUUGCUGUAAAUGCUGGAAUAAAGGAAGGAGUAACUAUACCCGAGGGUCAUAUUGGUGAACUUUCCAUCACUGAAUUUGAACCUGCAAGCUUCCUUGUGCAUCUAAGAGAUAUUGCUCGAGUUGUUUCUGUAAUCGAUUUGCUUGAACUCACUGUGCUCCGGUGUCGGUUAUCGGCCUUCUUUCGUGCAAAAGGAUGUGGCCCAUUGCCUGCAUACCAUGAACCUCAGGGGAUUACGGAUCCUGAAGAGAAUGCUGACGAAAAUCUGGGAUAUGAUGAAACUGAGUUGGAUGGUAAGGGGGAUCUAACGCAAAACCCAGCUGAAGAAGGCUGGCUUUCUUCGCCAGUGACCAGCCGCAAACGUGGGAAUAGCUUGUCUGGAAAACGGCUACAGAUCUCAGAGGAUAAACUAUAUCAGAGGAAGAAGAAGAGCAUGGCUGAACUUAUGGGAGAGAAAAUGGAUUCCGAACCUGAAACUGAUGGCAGUGAUGCGGUGGAAGAAGGAAAGGUGGUUGGUAAACCUGCUUUGCCAUCCAAAAGGCAGGAAAAGACCAAGCAUUCUGCAUCUCCAUCCGCAAGAACAGAGAAUAAGGAUAAGAACAGCGAAGAUGUGGAUAAAGAAGGCAAGACUGCCAGUAAAUCUGCUUCAUUAUCAAGGAAGAGAAAGAAGAGCAAUAAGACUUCCGAAGCUCCUUCAAUGGCGGAAGGCAACAGGACUACUGAUGCUGAAAAUGAUGAUACUGGGGCUGAGGAAGGGACAGUCUUGAGUUCGCCGAGGAUACGGAAGAAGAGUAAGUAUUUAUCACCCCCCUACACAUUUUUAGGGGGGUUUAAGGGCAUGAUCUUAAAAGAUGAUGUAGAAAUAGAAUCCCCGAAGGAUCCAAUCUCUUCUCGGCUCAGAGAGUCUAUUCAGACAAAAGAUGCUGAGGCAGAAACUCCAGAAGAAACUUCAGGGAUUCCGCAGAUUGACGAGUCAGGAAGCAGGAUUGUGAGCCGGCUUACUGGAUCUCCUCCCAUUGUAAAAUGUGGCGGUGAGACCUUUCAGAAAAGAGCUGCCAAGGGAUCCCGUGUUGGACGUAAAACACCUGGCAACUUCAGUCCGAGGACGCCAAAGGAAGAUUGGACUGCUCAUGUAGUGGAGAUGGAUAAUGCAUCUGCACAUAAGAUGCUUUCAGAAAUCCGUUUAGUAGCCCUUGAUACACUAUAUCUCAAGGGCGGCCGUUCUUCUGAUAGAGUUGUGGGUUUCUUUGCUGGAUUUAGGCGCUAUGUGUAUUGUGGGGUUUCUGACUAUGGGACUGACAAGAAAUACGGGAAGGGUAGAGUUGGUAGAAAGAGGAAAUCACAACUCACUGAACAUGGUUCGCUGGAAAAAACUGAACAUGGUUUGCCAGAAAAACAUUCUGGCGAGGGGGAGAAGUCCAUGGCAGGUUCGCAUGGUAGAAAGAGAAAAACCCAACUUACUGAACAUGGUUUGUUGGAAAAAAGUACUGGUGAGGGGUUAAAGUCCAUGGCAGGUUCACGUGGUAGAAAGAGAAAAUCCCAACUUACUGAACAUGGUUUGGUGGAAAAAAGUUCUGGCGAGGGGGACUGGUCCAUGGCAGGUUCAGGUGGUAGAAAGAGAGAAACACAACUUACUGGACAUGGCUUGUUGGAAAAAAAUUCUGUCGAGGGGGGCCAAUCCAUGGAAGAUUCAGGUGGUAAAAUGAUGAAAACCCAACUUACUGAACAUGGUUUGCUGGAAAACAAUUCUGGCGAGAAGGACCAAUCGAUGGAAGAUUCAGGUGGUAGAAAGAGGGAAACCCAACAUACUGAACGUGCUUCCUCGGAAAAAAGUUCUGGUGGGGCAGACCUAUCUAUGGCAGGUUCAGGUGUUAGAAAGAGAAAAACCCAUCUUAACCAGCAUGGUUUGUUGGGUAAGAAUUCUGGCGAGGCCAACCUGACUUUGGCAGAUUUAUCUGGUAAAAAGAGAAGACCUCGACUCAUUGAAUGUGGUCCAUUGGAAAAGAAUUCUGGUGAGGGCGACCUACCUGAAGAUAAAUCUCAAGUGAAGAAACGGAAAGUGAAGGAUGUAGCAACUGCACAACUUUCAAAAAAGAAGUCGGGACAAUCUACUAAAGGAAAAGUGGGCCGGCCUCGUCGUGUUGCUGUCAGUUCAGGCAUUGAGACAGCCAAUGGAGAAAGGUCAGCAGCUCUGCUCUUGACCUUUGCACCAGGUAUCACAUUGCCUUCAAAAGACGAUCUUUUAAAGGUAUUCGGUAAGUUUGGAGAUUUGAAGGAGUCCGAAACAGAAGUGUUGAAAGAUUCAGGCUGUGCUCGUAUCGUCUUUGCGAAAAUCUCUGAUGCCGAAGAAGCCUUCAAUGGCCCCGAGAGGAAAAGUGCUUUUGGACUACCUGUCGUUGGUUGCCGACUGAAAUAUCCACCGGUUGCUUAUAAAGCUCUGGAAACCAACGGUGCCUUACAUAUUCCACCUGCUGAAGGAGUUGGGGCCAUUAUAGCCUCAUCGCAGGCCACUGCUGGGCCCCAGCUGCAGUUCAUGCAACAGAACCUGGAAAUGAUGAUGUCAAUGCUCUCUGAGUCUGCAGGAGAAGGUGCGGGAUCAGGGGAGAAGCUGUCUCCGGAGGUGAGAGCGAACUUAGCAGGUGAGAUCGACGGCCUCCUGAAGAAGGUGGCCACACUGCCUUUGUAAGCUUCUGCCUACGUGGAGAUGUAGGAAUUACAUGCAGCAUGACGGCUUAUCAUUCCACACCGUUGGAUUGGUUUCCCCCAGCGAGACAGGUACCUGGGCGACUUGUCAGGUGGGCCACACUGUUGAUGAUCAGCCCAAAGAUUUGGCCGGUCUGCUUAUCAGGUAGUUUCCAUGCGCACGAAUGAAUGCAUUGUAAAGGAACUGUCCAUAUUCAACAUGCAUGUUGGGCGGCCUGAUGAGUGGGCCAGCCUGAUUUUUGUGCCAGAGCAUAUACAUUGUGGGGCUUGAUUGAUAAGCAGCUUGCAAUUCGCACAUUUGGUAGAGAGAUCAAAUGUCCAAUAAGCAAACCUAUAGAAUGUGAUUAUUUA